UACGUAGGUGGCGAGCGUUGUCCGGAUUUACUGGGCGUAAAGAGCGCGCAGGCGGUCGUCCAAGUCGCGUGUGAAAGCCCCCGGCUCAACUGGGGAGGGUCACGCGAUACUGAUCGACUCGAAGGCAGGAGAGGGAAGCGGAAUUCCCGGUGUAGUGGUGAAAUGCGUAGAUAUCGGAAGGAACACCAGUGGCGAAAGCGGCUUCCUGGUCCAGCACCGACGUUCAGGCACGAAAGCGUGGGGAGCAAACAGG
rnacentral:rRNA from 1 species